GACGAACGCUGGCGGCGUGCUUAACACAUGCAAGUCGAACGGAAAGGCCCUGCUUUUGUGGGGUGCUCGAGUGGCGAACUGGUGAGUAACACUUGAGUAACCUGCCCUUGACUUUGGGAUAACUUCCGGAAACUGGGGCUCAUACCGGAUAGGAGCUCCUGCUGCAUGGUGGGGGUUGGAAAGUUUCGGCGGUUGGGGAUGGACUCGCGGCUUAUCAGCUUGUUGGUGGGGUAGUGGCUUACCAAGGCUUUGACGGGUAGCCGGCCUGAGAGGGUGACCGGCCACAUUGGGACUGAGAUACGGCCCAGACUCCUACGGGAGGCAGCAGUGGGGAAUAUUGCACAAUGGGCGGAAGCCUGAUGCAGCAACGCCGCGUGCGGGAUGACGGCCUUCGGGUUGUAAACCGCUUUCGCCUGUGACGAAGCGUGAGUGACGGUAAUGGGUAAAGAAGCACCGGCUAACUACGUG
rnacentral:rRNA from 1 species